rnacentral:rRNA from 1 species
UACGUAGGGGGCAAGCGUUGUCCGGAUUUAUUGGGCGUAAAAGAGCUCGGUAGGCGGUUCCGUAAGUCGUGAAGUCAAAUCUCUGGGCUCAACCCAGAAUCGCUUCCGAUACUGCGGUGACUGGAGUCCGGUAGGGGAGUGUGGGAAUUCCUGGUGUAGCGGUGAAAUGCGCAGAUAUCAGGAGGAACACCAACAGCGAAGGCAGCACUCUGGGCCGGUACUGACGCUGAGGAGCGAAAGCAUGGGGAGCGAACAGG